rnacentral:lncRNA from 1 species
GCGAAGAGGGCCCCAGGCAGCCCGGGAAGGGCAGCGCCAGGGCUCCCGCUUAGGAAAGGGUAGCAGUGGGGGUCCCCAAGCCCCCACUGCUGGGCAGUGAGUGAUCUGGUGGCUUUUUUCCCAAAUGGAAUCCUCAAAAAACCCCUGAGCCCCACAUGAGCGGAGUCUCCAUCCUGGCCCAGGCAGCUGAGCUGGGCCGCAGGAGACGCGUCGCUCGCCUGACAGUGUCCCCGAG